AAAACUGAGGGCAAGAGGGGUUUGGUGACUUGCCCAAGUCUCCUUCUCAUCAAGGCCAAUAAGCCAGACUCAAGUCUUGUGACUCCAGAUCCUCUCCCCCAGACUGCCAGUUUGCUGCAUAUCCUGGAGGUGGUCAGGGAGUAACCCCUGAAUAUUCAUUGUGUUCCUAUACCAUAGACAAGGGAAGAUUCACUGAGAAUGGGGAGAAGACAGGAGGAGACAGAAGUAUAUCCAGAAAUUAUUCUAAUGUAAGAACAAGAGCAUCAAUAAAACAUUUAAAACAUAAUAAAAAUCAAAUGAAAGAUGGGACUCGAUGGUCAUUGAAAUCCUUUCUAACUCUGUCACAAAGUUGAGUCUAUCCUAUGAUAGCAAUCUCACCAGAGACUGUAGCCUAAGGAUGUCGUUAAAGGGAAAAAAGGAUGCAUCGGUACAAAAAUAUCCACAAUGGCUUUACUUAAAAUAGUGAAACCUGUAAACAAUCUCUACGUCCAAUGACUGAGGACUGGAGGCAUCAAUUGUGGCAUGGUGGUACCAAGGAAAACUCCCACACCAUUGGAAAUGGAAGAGUACGCAGAGAUUGGGGAAGAAAGACCACGGACAGCGGCAAUACAAGGAAAGGACACACAGUGACUUCAUCCAACUACCCCAAAACAUGGAUCAAGGAAACAAAACCUGAUAAGCUCACAAAUGGAGCCAGGAAGAGCCUGAAAAUUGGAGUUGUUACGGAAACUCGUUGUUGUUACUGUUAUUGUUCUUCUUCUUCUUCAUCUUUAUCAUCAUCAUCUUCUUCUCUC